GGCCAUCUGGAUGCCCUCACCCCAUGAAAAGGUUGACAGGAUGGUCAUUUGAAAACUUGCACAGCAAGUCUAUAGAAGUUCUGAGGGGAGCACUUCAUUCCAGUCUGGGGCCGUCCAAAGAAGCCAAGACCAUUCAAAUUCAGACCUGAGGUGCUCAGUUGAGUGUCUUGGGACAUCUCUAAGAACCUUUUUGUUGGUUUUAGUAUAUCUUUUUUUUCUUGUGUUCUUGAACUAUCUAUGCAUCUAUCUUCAUUGUUUUCUUCGCAAUGUGUUAUCCCUUUCCCUAUGUAUAUUAUUUAUCUCUGCUUAUAUCUAUGUAUCUUUUUAAAAAAUAAAAUUUUAACGUUCA